AGGGCGCAAGGGGAAUGCCUUGGCACUGAGAGCCGACGAAGGACGCGACAAGCUGCGAUAAGCUACGGGGAGCCGCAAAUGGGCUUUGAUCCGUGGAUUUCCGAAUGGGGAAACCCGAUGGAGCAAUACUCCAUCAACCAUGACUGAAUACAUAGGUCAUGGUGGGGAACCGCCUGAACUGAAACAUCUAAGUAGGGCGAGGAAGAGAAAUCAACCGAGAUUCCGCUAGUAGUGGCGAGCGAACGCGGAAGAGGCCAAACCGGAGGUAGCAAUAUUUCCGGGGUUAGGACUGCAAUAUGUAACUUUAAUCUUUAACUGAAUGCUUUGGGAAGAGCAGCGAUACAGGGUGAUAGCCCCGUAAGUGAAAAGGAUUGAGUGCUAGCAGUAUCCAGAGUACCAGCGGACACGUGAAACCCGCUGGGAAGAUGGGGGGACCAUCCUCCAAGCCUAAAUACUACUCAGUGACCGAUAGUGGAGCAGUACCGUGAGGGAAAGGUGAAAAGUACCCCGGGAGGGGAGUGAAAGAGAACCUGAAACCUUGUGCCUACAAGCACCGAGAGCACGUUAAAGUGUGAUCGGGUACUUUUUGUAGAACGGUCCGGCGAGUUAAUAUUUGCAGCGAGGUUAAGGAACUGGAGUUCCGGAGCCGCAGCGAGAGCGAGUCUGAAUAGGGCGUAUGAAGUUGCAGGUAUUAGACCCGAAACCGGGUGACCUAUCCAUGAGCAGGCUGAAGCGGUGGUAAGACACCGUGGAGGGCCGCACCCACGUCUGUUGAAAAAGCCGGGGAUGACUUGUGGAUAGCGGAGAAAUUCCAAUCGAACUCGGAGAUAGCUGGUUCUCCCCGAAAUAGCUUUAGGGCUAGCGUUAUUUUAGAUUACCGGAGGUAAAGCACUGAAUGGUCUAGGGGCCGCGAGGUUACCAAAGCCUAUCAAACUCUGAAUGCCGGAUAAUUGAUGAAUAGCAGUCAGACUGUGUGAGAUAAGUCUCAUAGUCAAAAGGGAAACAGCCCAGAUCUACAGCUAAGGUCCCAAAUGAACACUAAGUGGAAAAUGAUGUGAAACUGCGAAGACAACCAGGAUGUUGGCUUAGAAGCAGCCACUCAUUCAAAGAGUGCGUAAUAGCUCACUGGUCGAGUGGUUUUGCGCAGAAAAUGUAACGGGGCUAAGUGUUCAACCGAAGCUUAGGCAUUGCAGUAAUGCAUUGGGUAGGGGAGCGUCGUAUGCGGGGCGAAGUCAGAGCGGAAGCACUGGUGGACUGCAUACGAGUGAGAAUGCCGGAAUAAGUAGCGAGAAUUAUGUGAGAAUCAUAAUGGCCGAAAAUCUAAGGUUUCUUGGGGAAGGUUCGUCCGCCCAAGGUUAGUCGGGAGCUAAGCUCAGGCCGAAAGGCGUAGGCGAUGCACAUACGGUAGAAAUUCCGUAACCACCGAACAUUUAAGCUAGAGGGACGCUUUCUUUAAGGUUAUCCCGGGCGAUGGUUGCCCCGGGCGUAAGGGACCGAAAUAUAGUAGGGAAGUAACUGGCGAGAGAGACGAGAAAAGCUCUAGUGUAUACUAAGGUGCCCGUACCGCAAACCGACACAGGUAGAUGGGAUGAGUAUUCUAAGGCCAACGGGAGAAGGGUUGUUAAGGAACUCGGCAAAUUGGCCCCGUAACUUCGGGAUAAGGGGCGCCUGCGAGAGCAGGCCGCAGUGAAAAGGCCCAAGCGACUGUUUAGCAAAAACACAGCUCUCUGCUAAAUCGAAAGAUGACGUAUAGGGGGUGACGCCUGCCCGGUGCUGGAAGGUUAAGGGGAGUGCUUAGCGCAAGCGAAGGUGCGAACUUAAGCCCCAGUAAACGGCGGCCGUAACUAUAACGGUCCUAAGGUAGCGAAAUUCCUUGUCAGGUAAGUUCUGACCCGCACGAAUGGCGUAACGAUUUGGGCACUGUCUCAACAGCCCGCCCGGCGAAAUUGUAGUACCGGUGAAGAUGCCGGUUUCCCGCAACUAGACGGAAAGACCCCAUGGAGCUUCACUGUAGCUUGAUAUUGGAUCUCGGUAUUCCAUGUACAGGAUAGGUGGGAGGCUAGGAAGUAAGCGCGCCAGCGUUUAUGGAGCCAACCUUGGGAUACCACUCUUGGGAUAUUGGGAUUCUAACCUGCGACCAUGAAUCUGGUCGGGGGACACUGUCAGGUGGG
rnacentral:rRNA from 1 species